ACAGCAACAAGAAAGAGGCAAAAAGUGUCCUGGCUGCUUUUAAAGACACUGUAGCUGAGUUUAACUCAGAGUUUAAGGACCAUCAGCAGAAAGAUGCCCAUGAGUUCCUCAGUUCUCUGUUGAAUCAGAUGAAGUCUCUGAGCUUUGAUCUGCAGGCAUCAGCAAUUAACAUGGGCUUCAAAUACACCUGCCCUGUUGAUGCUCACUUCACCUUCCAGAUGUUGAGCAUCAGGACCUGCAAAGGAUGCGGUAUACAAUCCAUGAGGGAGGAGGAUUACAUAAACCUGUCCCUAGACCUGGUGCAUGGUGGCUCAGUAAACC